rnacentral:tRNA from 1 species
CGGGGCAUGGUCCAGUGGUGGGCGUGGGGCGCCGAGCCCGCGUUCGACCGGUGGACCGGGUGGGCCGCCGCGCGUUCGGAGACGUACGGCCUCGG